rnacentral:rRNA from 1 species
GAUGAACGCUAGCGAUAGGCUUAACACAUGCAAGUCGAGGGGCAGCAUGGUCUUAGCUUGCUAAGACUGAUGGCGACCGGCGCACGGGUGCGUAACGCGUAUGCAACUUGCCUCACAGAGGGGGAUAACCCGUCGAAAGACGGACUAAUACCGCGUACACUCCAUCUUGGGCAUCCAAGGUAGAGGAAAUGAAAUUCGCUGUGAGAUAGGCAUGCGUCCCAUUAGCUAGUUGGUGAGGUAACGGCUCACCAAGGCGACGAUGGGUAGGGGAACUGAGAGGUUGAACCCCCACACUGGUACUGAGACACGGACCCGACUACUACGGGAGGCAGCAGUGAGGAAUAUUGGUCAAUGGGCGAGAGCCUGAACCAGCCAAGUCGCGUGAAGGAUGACUGUCUUAUGGAUUGUAAACUUCUUUUAUACGGGAAUAACAAGAGUCACGUGUGACUCCCUGCAUGUACCGUAUGAAUAAGCAUCGGCUAACUCCGUG